GAUUUUUACAAGAUUUUUUUUUUCUUUGUCUCUCUAGCAGUACCUGGCAUGACCCAAAGCUGUUUGUAAUACAACUGCCUCACUGGGAGACUGCUUUUUGAGAAGUUCUUUAAAGAACAUCAGAAAGGCCAUACUUGCUCAGAGUAAAGGUCCAUCUGGCUCAACAUCCUGUCCCUGGGCAGUGGCCAAGAAUGGAUGCCUGGGGCACAGCUGAACCACUUCUCCUUUGCUGCACACACCUCCAGGCUGACCGUAACGAGUGAGGAGGGAGUAUAAGGCCAGCUGCCCUCACACUAUUUCUGGCAAGAAUGGGAGCAGGUCCUGCAGGAGUCUGUGCACCAGCCUCCUGAUCUCCCCAAGACUGGAGCUGCUUGUGAAAUUAGUCCAGGCAUUUUACUGUUUCCAUGGAAACACUGAGGCAACUUAUCAACAGUUUGCUGCACAGUUGACAGACUGGUAAAGCUCUGAAGUUGGACCUUUAAACAAACUAAAGCUUACAGGUGGCCAUGCACACGUGAGUACACCCAUGAUGGAUAUGGAUGCCAUGGAUAAGAACUGGACUGCGAUUCUCCAGCCUUUUUAUAGCAGUUACUGAACAGAUGGUGAGCUACCAUUGUUGUUAUUUCAUAUUCCAGCCUCAUGGAGCAGGGUUGUGGGCUAGCAAUUUCUUUUUGCCAGCUUGGGAUCAACAGAUCUUGAAAAGUCACAACGUUACUAUUAUUCCAUUCAUCCCUAGAGACCCACAAAGACUGGGGCUACUCGUACUAAGUACCUACACAGGAUAGAGGCUAGUAUGAAUCCCUCAUCCCCAACAGUUUAAGUGAAUAUGGAUCUAUUUUUGGCAUUAGCCUGUGAGCUAUAUAUAGAAUAUCCUGAAUUCCUUUGUGUUGGUGUACCUUUUUGCUGAAAGGGACAUGGUUUGUGUAUGAUCGGGUGGGUGGUUCAUACUCCCAGCUUCUUUUGGCAAUAACUGUUCAUCACACACUCUGAAUUCCUGCAGUGACCUGUUGAAAGUGAUUUACCUGUACUCGUUUUAUGUUGUGCAGGAAUAGAGUACAUGUGUGUAUGUAGGUGACUAGUAUGUUUGUUGUGGGGCAAUAGGGACAGCUGGUUCAGGCAUGAUCACUUUUAAAGCUACUUUAGUGUGAUAUCAAGUGUUCAGCUGAUGAUACCAAUCCUGUCAGGUUAAGUACACAAGGACAUAAAAAAUCUUGAAGUCAAAGCUGAUCUGAGAACUUGAAACCACAAGCAUUGUUUCUGCUAGACAGCAGGAUGACAGAAGCUGCAACAAACCAUUCUUAUAUAACGAAGCAAUUUAUGUUUUCCCAGUCUCGCAAGUUUUUGAAAACAGCUUUCUCAGGCUUUCCACUGAUAACACUUUGAGGCUUUUUCAGGGAAAGUAUGGUAAAUAAGCAGUCACUAUUGCAAGCAUGUAUUUUAUCACUGUUUUUUACUCUUAGCCCUGAUAGUCACCCCCCCCUAGAAAGAGAACAAAGCAAUGAAAUUUGCAGUUUUUCCAAUCCAUUUUUUAUCCUAAUCUUCCUGAAAUAUUACAUUACAAAAGCUGCAAUGGCAGACUCCUCAGACAAAGCUGUGCCACACAUACGAAUUAAAAAUAAAUUAUAAAUGUCUCUGUACAGGAAAAAAAUGCGUUUUUUCAUCAAAGCAUUGAAUGAACUAAAGAGAAUGUCUCCUA